GACAGAGGGUGCAAACGUUGUUCGGAAUUACUGGGCGUAAAGCGUGUGUAGGCGGCCAUAUAAGUCGGAUGUGAAAGCCCUGGGCUCAACCCAGGAAGUGCACUCGAUACUGUAUGGCUUGAGUACUGGAGAGGUUGGUGGAAUUCUCGGUGUAGAGGUGAAAUUCGUAGAUAUCGAGAGGAACACCGGUGGCGAAGGCGGCCAACUGGACAGAUACUGACGCUGAGGCGCGAAAGCGUGGGGAGCAAACAGG
rnacentral:rRNA from 1 species